rnacentral:lncRNA from 1 species
AGUGACAGCAGCUUGUUAAGGCUAAUGAACGGCUGAAUUUCCUCUGCCGGGAUCCAAAGCAGGAUUUGCCAGCUUGAGGCUGAGAUGUAACAGUCUCUGCUUUAGCAAAAGAGGUUUGGCUUUUGGUAUAAGGAGCCGAGUGGCAAGGCGGAUCCUUUAACUGUACCAUUGUUGCUAGUUCACUUCUGGUCAGAGGCUGUGAGUUUUCCUCCAGGUAUUGGCGUCUGGUGUCUCUGUGUCCACACAUGCAUUCUUGUCCAAGGACGCUAGCAGAUGCUUGACUCUGUCUCUCUGUAAACACAUACACAGUUCACAUAUUUUUAGAAUAAAGUCUUUCUUCAAUGCAUCCUUUUCCUUAUCCUUAACGAGAGUGUGUCUCAUGAAGGGUCUCACUGGAUCUUUUUCUUCCUUUUAUUUCCAAUGCUAAUUAAACCAAAAUCUUCUGAAAUAGCCUUCAUUUCACACUGUCAGCCCACUGGAUAUGGGAUAAUUGUCCUGCUUAAUAGUCAGUGAGCCUGUGACAAAGUCACUGACUGUGGCAGGGCUCCCUCUCGUCACGGAGAUCCUCGUUUUGACAUUGGAUUUUCUGGCAAUGAUGCCUUAGCCACAUAGCUCCAAGUCUGAAAAUAAUCGUUGCUGGUAUAAUUCUGAAAUCCAAAUGGACAUCACACAUUAACAGCUCUCCAUUCCUGGGCUCUGACUGCAUACUUAAGCACUCGGCCCAAGCCUGGGCUGCCAGGUGCUAUAUCAGCCAGGAAAACAAAGCAAACUGUAGGGUCUGUCCAUCCGUAGGUUUGCCUCAGUCCCCAAUUCGCAGAUAGCCUUGUCAUGAAUUAGAAUUUCUUGGCAACAGCACCACCCAGGGAAAUUUGUAGACACAAAGGAGCCUUGCUAGCCACACUGAAAGGAUAAAAUAACUGUUUUUUUUUGUAUUGUGCAAUGGGCUUUUAAUUAUCUUUGCUGGACCCCACGACUGGCAAAUGCAGAAAAUCGCUCUGUGAUUCCAGUUCACUCGAUAUAUCAGUUAGCCUAUGUGUUAGAACUGCGAUUUGCUGAAAGUUUAGGACAGCUCCCCAACUUAACUUGAAUGGUGCCAGAGGAAUAUACAUAUCCUUAUUCUAUCUAAAAUUCCCCAAAUAAACAAAAUGUUGCCAUUACUGGGACAUGCUUUUACCUAAGAUUGUUUGUGAUUUUGCUGUGCCCCACCUUGCCCAGAUUAGUUCCUGCUAAUUGGCAGAAUUAUUUCUACCACCCUACAUCCCUUUAGUUUUCCUUCUCGGGGUAUUUGGUGUGACCCUAAGAACUUGGUCCCGUUUAAACGACUCAUGUCCAUCCCCCCUCCAUUCGAGCAGUACCACAUGCUUGAUAUAUAAAUGUUACAGCUGAGCGUUUGCAGUAGCCUUGAGAUCUGAGUCUAGUAUCAGCCCAAAUGAGGAGCUUGACUGUAGUAAGGCAGAGAAAGCAUGUUCAAAAUUAAGUUAAACAGAAUAGAGCAUGAGUGCCAGAAAGAAGGAAAGAAAGAAAGAAACAUUCAGUUCUGUGUUGGAACACUGACCUGUGCCUAUCUGUAUUACCCACAUAGUUCCAACCUUGUUUAUAAAACAUACUUGAGAUUUACUAAGUUCUGUUGUGAAAAAGCUUUCAGCCAAUGUCAUGUUGUGGGCUGGAUACUUUUAGGGCAGAUGAGUAUACAAUGUGAAUACACAUAUCCAUAAUGGCCAGGAAACAGUGCCCAUGUCUGUGCCAUUCGGAAAUGAUUAGAGGUUUGACAUUCUAGUCAUUGUAACUCCUUUCUUUUUCUUGAAUCUAAUAAAAAAUUAGGUGAAAAGAUCUAAUUAGCGGAAGUCUAAAAUUAGUUGAAAAAUCCCACUGACUUGGCUUCUGAGGUGCUUUAGCAUCAGCCUGUCAUGGAUGGCACCCUUGGCCAUUGCCUUGCCACAAUCCCUGUCACCUCCCUGGACUUGCCUUUUUGCCACCAUCACCCCAGGUGGCCUGCUUUCAAACUGUUCAUGGCUCCCUCUUAUACAUAGCAUGAGGCCAAACUUCCAAGAGUCAGGGUGUUCCAAGACUGGGUCUACACAAUAUUUGCAAGUUCCCCCCUUUUCACAUGUAGUAAAUGCCAUCCAAAUUAAGUGACUAUGCUUUUCCUGCUUCUGUCUUUAUUUUUGUUGUUUCCUUUAGCCUUUUUCCUCUUCCUCCCUCUCCCCUUCCUGAUUUUCUUUGUCCAAGUUCCACCCAUUCCUUAACUUUCAAAUGGGUGCCAAACUCCCUCCCUUGCUACCAGCCAACUGUAACUGCUAUGAUUUCCAUACUCUUGUGCAGAGCUUUUUACUUCCCCG